AGGACGAACGCUGGCGGCGCGCUUAACACAUGCAAGUCGAGCGAGAACCAUUCCUUCGGGAAUGGGGACAGCGGCGAACGGGUGAGUAACACGUGGGUAAUCUGCCCUCGAUUCUGGGAUAGCCCGGGGAAACCCGGAUUAAUACCGGAUAGCCUCUCGAGCUUUCGAGCUCGCGAGAAAAGGUAGCUUCGGCCUCCGAUCGAGGAUGAGCCCGCGGCGGAUUAGCUUGGUUGGUGGGGUAAUGGCCUACCAAGGCGACGAUCCGUAGCUGGUCUGAGAGGACGAUCAGCCACACUGGGACUGAGACACGGCCCAGACUCCGUACGGGAGCAGCAGGUGGGGAA
rnacentral:rRNA from 1 species